GGUCCAAAUUUGAAGUGGAGUAGAUUAAUAGUAUCAGCUGACCCUACUAAACUGCUGUACUUCAAAUUUGGGCCC
rfam:Haemonchus contortus, ISE/inbred ISE, WGS project CAVP01000000 data, contig: Hcontortus_30183